AGAAAGGCGGACAUGUAAAGAUAAAGCGCGGGGUUUCAUAUUCAAAACCAUCGACCUCGAGUACUACGUGUCACGAGAAAAUCUCUCUCUCUCUCUCUCUCUCUCUCUCUUUCUCUCUCUUUCUCUUUCUAUAUGUGUGUGUGUGUGUAUAUAUAUAUAUUUGGGAUUCGUGCCAGUAAUAAGCAGUAGAGUUUCUUCUCUUUGCUUAAACAUCAGAAACCUUUGCCUCUUCUGCGAUUUUUCGUUCAUCUCAGUGUUGAAGAUGAUCACAGCUGCUCGAACUCAAAUUCUCGCUGGCCAUGGCUUUUCUCUCAUGGUGGUGCAGUCUUCUAGCACGACAUUUUUGCCUAAAAGGUUCAAAGAUAAUAGGAAAGCAGCUGAUGCCUCUUGUAAGGAUUUUAUCCCCUCCAGCAGUACUCCUGAAAGAUAUCAAUUCUAAGUCUAAAUUUGUGGAUUGAUAGCUUUCAGGUUUGGAAUAGGGAAUGAAGCCAGUGGUCCGUGUAGCAUAGGAUAACUUAUUAUAUUGAUGUCUGGUGUAAAUUGCUUGCUCUGAAAUUAAUUUAGAUGAUAUAAAUAUUUGUUCAAUCUCUUUUUGUCUCUUUUAAAUCUUUGUGCCAUUCACAAUA